ensembl:snoRNA
UUCCAAAGUGUUGAGUUCAUUCCAGGAUAUCUUCUUUGCUCUAUUAAUUAAACUUUGGAAUACUGAAGCUGGCUAGUGAAAAUGACUGGAUAAAAAAUAUUAUUCUAUGCAUUUAAUCCACAGUCAACAAAA